AACGUAGGAGACAAACGUUAUCCGGAGUUACUGGGCGUAAAGGGCGUGUAGGUGGUUUCGUAAGUCUGGCGUGAAAUAUCUCGGCUUAACCGAGGCAGGUCGUCGGAUACUGCGGAACUGGAGGACGGUAGAGGCGUGUGGAAUUCCGGGUGUAGUGGUGAAAUGCGUAGAGAUCCGGAGGAACACCAGUGGCGAAGGCGACACGCUGGCCGUACCGUGACACUGAUGCGCGACAGCAUGGGGAGCAAACAGGG
rnacentral:rRNA from 1 species